rnacentral:rRNA from 1 species
GCUUGUCUCAAAGAUUAAGCCAUGCAUGUCUAAGUACAAGCCUCAGUAAGGUGAAACCGCGAAUGGCUCAUUAAAUCACACCUAAUCUACUGGAAAGUUACUAGUUACUUGGAUAACUGAGGUAAUUCUUGAGCUAAUACAUGCGAAAAAUCUCGACUCACGGAGAGAUGCUUUUAUUAGAUCAAAACCAACAUCUCGUUGGUGAUUCAUAAUAACCAAGCGAAUCGUCGGUUUACCGACGAUAGAUCGUUCAAGUUUCUGACCUAUCAGCUUUGGUCGGUAGGGUAUUGGCCUACCGAGGCAAUGACGGGUAACGGAGAAUUAGGGUUCGAUUCCGGAGAGGGAGCCUGAGAAACGGCUACCACAUCUAAGGAAGGCAGCAGG